AUUGAACGCUGGCGGCAGGCUUAACACAUGCAAGUCGAGCGAGCGGCGGACGGGUGAGUAAUGUCUGGGAAACUGCCUGAUGGAGGGGGAUAACUACUGGAAACGGUAGCUAAUACCGCAUACCAUCAGAUGUGCCCAGAUGGGCUUAGCUAGUAGGUGGGGUAAUGGUUCACCUAGGCGACUAUCCCUAGCUGGUCUGAGCGGAUGCUCCGCCACCGGGGAACUGAGACACGGCCCAGACUCGUCCGGGGGGCAGAAGGGGGGAAAGUUGCACUAUGGGAGCAAGCCUGUGGCCGCCAUGCCGCGAGUGGGAAGAAGGCUUUCGGGUUGGAAAGCACUUUCAGCGAGGAGGGGUGACGCGCAGGAGAAGCAACGGCUAACUCCGUGUCAGCAGCCGCGGUAAUUC
rnacentral:rRNA from 1 species